UAGGGUCUAAAACAAUGUAUAUAAACCCUAUAAAACGUCCAGGGACUAAUAAUGCAAAUAGAGAAAUCUUCUAGGGCAAACUUCCUUUUCUGUAAACUCGUGUGACGAUCGACACUCUGGCUGAUUCCUGAAUCUAAAAUCGUCCUUAACUUCCUUUUCCUUAGCUUUUGCUCCAAAAUGUCUCCUUAUUUCCAUUGGUGUCUCAUUGCAUAGAAUACCUGAAAAGACACUAAAAAGACUCGAGAAAUAACAUAAAGACUCAAAAUCCUAUACCUAAAACGU
rnacentral:sRNA from 1 species